rnacentral:lncRNA from 1 species
UUUUGCAAAUUGUGCAUGCCAGCAGGUGCUCCUGUGAGCUGAAUCGUUAGACUGGAUUGGCUGUGAGAUCCAGGAUGGAUGCACAUAGGCUUCUAGGAUGUAGGUUAUAGUGAGGAGACCAAUGGACAAAGGUCUUCUUUCUUUAUGGCUCCUCACCAAUGAUGGACAAUCUGCUUCCAGAAGGACCUCUGUGGCCUUGUGGAACUACUUGUCUCAUGCGUCCCAGCUACACAGAAACAGGAAACCGGGACACAGUGUUAAGCUCCCAUUUCCUAAGCUAAAGUGGCCACUAAGGUAAGUGACACUGGAUAAGAGAGGGACUAGCUAUCACAGGCUCUGGUUUGGAACAUACUGAGGGGAUCUGUAUAGAAUUUAACCAACAAGGUGGCUUCAUCUCACAUUAUUGUCAGCCUUACUGAGUUUCCAGUGGAGCUGCACAUGAGAAGAUGAAUAUGGUUCAGUCUCAAGCACACAGUUUCGCCUCUUUUAGGUGUGUAUGCAUUUCCCAAAGCCCAGUCUAAAUGAUGGCUAAAUAAACAUUGGAAUCUUCUGCUUCUGGGGAAGGCUUGAAGUUGCUCAUUCCAAUUACAGUAGGAACAAGAAUCCUGAUGGGCUGCUUCCAUCCUGGAAAAGGAAAGAGAGACCUCAGAUUUCUCAUUGAUUUGUGUCUCUGUAUUUUGGAGUAUUCUCAGUACCCUUGUUCUGAUUUAUUUCUCUGGAACAAGGUGAGGGCACUCUAAAGCGGUGUUCCAUUUGUCCUGUUGAGGAAGAGAAUGCAUAGAAGCUGCAGGUACCACGACCUCUCAGGGCAUUUCCCUCGUCUUGUUGCAUUUCACUCUAUUCUUGCAGAAUUCCAAUCUUCUUGUUUUCCCUUAUCUGAAAAAAAUACAAGUAGAGAAAGAGCAAAGUUUUCUUCCUUUGAAACAUUUCAAAAGUCAGGGGACGGACUGAGGAGGUGUAGGCUUGAGGACCUCAGUUCAAAUCCCAAGAAGUAAUGUAAAGAGCCAGGUAUGGUAGUUUGUAAUCGACACACCAGGAAGCAGAUACAGGAGGAUCCCCGAGUCUCAUCAUCAGCCAGUCUAUACAGUCGGUGAGCACCAGACUCAGUGAGAGAUCAAAACAGAUAGAGACUGAUAGAGGAAGAUACGGAGUUGACUCUGGGUCUCCAAAUAUAUAAACACACACACACACACACACACACACACACAAACAGAGAGAGAGAUGCACACGCACAUAAACAUAAGGGGGGGGGACAGGAGGCAGGCAGACAGACAAAACACCCCACUGGGAAACACAGAGUCCCUGGGAUCCUUGGAGCUGAGCCUGUGUUUACAGCCUUGAGCCCUCUGCCUGUCUCCUCAGAACUCCAUGUGACUCCUUCCAGAACUCCAGAGUGACUUACCUCCUGGCUGAGGUUGACAAGAGCUUCGAAGGUGUUUUUUUAGAAGCAGAUCUUUUGUUCCCCCACAAGUUUCACCUCCACUCACUGUGCAUUUUUAGGGAAAUCAAUCCCUCUGUUUUUGAUAAUCCUGCCCUCAUCUCACCAAAACUGCCACUUCAUAGCAGGGAUCUGGUAGCUGGAUAGAACUAGAAAGUCUUGUUUACCCUUCGAAAAAUCAGGGUUGUUUGGCCGAGUUCAGCAAGAGGUUUGACUUCUCUUCAGAGCACGAAUCCCAUGUGUCCCCAAGAUUCCCAUAGGCUUUGGGUGGGUAUUUUAACCUCUCUAUUGCACCUCAUUUUUUUCUUUCUGGUUAAUUGAGGAGAUGAAACAACAGGAAUCUUUGCAUCCAAAGUGCACCCUUGUCUUCUGCAUCGUUAGUAACCACUGAGGCCGCCAGGCAGAAUAUUCCCCUCCCAGUAUGUUUUGGUUGGCUUAUCUGUUUAUUGUCUUUGCAAACACAGUGUGGUGCCCUGUCAUUGGCAUCUUGCCAGGAGAUGGGGAACCAAUUUGAUCAUGUUGCUUCUGGCUGUCAGAACAUUCUCAUCUGACCACUAUGUAGAAGAAGUGUGUGGAGAGGGUGUCUGAGUGGCAUUAUGACUGAUUGGCUGAUAACAGUAGCUGACAGUGAUUGAUUGAGUGUGAAGUUAUCUGCUCUCAUUACUCCUGAAAUUGAAUUCAGAUCGGUUCUAUUGGAGGGUUUCCAUGGAGACCACAACCUGCCGGAGCAGGUGUCUGUGGGUGUGGUGGUUUAUUAUGAUCAAUACCUAUUUCCUGUGCUGGCCUGAAGAAAUUAUUAGGGAUUGGAAUCAGGCAGAAAGAAGUGUACGGGUGCGCGCGUGCGCGCGCACACACACCAAACAAACAAUAAGAAACUUGUGUGUAUGUGUACACAUGUGUGGACAUAUGUGCAUGCAUAUGUGUGUAGAGCCAGAGGUCAACCUUGAUCGUUGUCCCUCAGGAGCUGCCUACUUGGGUCUUCUGAGAUAAGACCUUUCAGUGUCCUGAGGCUCUCUCAUUGAGCUAGACUGGGUGGCAGCCGGCGAGCUUCAGGGAUUCACCUAUCUCUACCUCCCCAGUGCCAGGCUUCAGUGUAUAUUGCCACAUCUGGCUUUUUAUGUGGUACUCUAGUUUCAUUCUGUUGCUGUGAAAAAAAAUUUUUUUAAAUUAAAAACAAACAAACAAACAACCCUCCCC